UACUCGAGCUCCAUGCAAUCAACGGUAACUGGAAGCACUUGCUGCUUUGCUGACGAGUGGCGGACGGGUGAGUAGUGUCUGGGAAACUGCCUGAUGGAGGGGGAUAACUACUGGAAACGGUGGCUAAUACCGCAUAACGUCGCAAGACCAAAGAGGGGGACCUUCGGGCCUCUUGCCAUCAUAUGUGCCCAUAUGGGAUUAUCUUGUUGGUGAGGUAACGGCUCACCAGGGCGACGAUCCCUAUCUGGUCUGAGAGGAUGACCACCCACACUGGAACUGACACACGGUCCACACUCCUACGGGAGGCAGCAGUGGGGAAUAUUGCACAGUGGGCGCAAGCCUGAUGCACCCAUGCCGCGUGUAUGAAAAAGGCCUUCGGGUUGUAAAGUACUUUCAGCGGGGAAGAAGGUGUUGUGGUUAAUAACCGCAGCAAUUGACGUUACCCGCAAAAAAAGCACCGGCUAACUCCGUGCCAGCACCCGCGGUAAUACAGAGGGUGCAAGCGUUAAUCGGAAUUACUGGGCGUAGAGCGCACGCACGCGGUCUGUCAAGUCAGAUGUGAAAUCCCCGGGCUCAACCUGAGAACUGCAUUCGAAACUGGCUGGCUUGAGUCUUGUAGAGGGGGGUAGAAUUCCGGGUGUAGCGGUGAAAUGCGUAGAGAUCUGGAAGAAUACCGGUGGCGAGCGCGGCCCCCCUGCACAAGACUGACGCUCAUGUGCGAAGCGUGGAGAGCAACGGGAUUAGAUACCCUGAUACUCCACGCCGUAAACGAUGUCUACUGAGUGUGCCGUGAAGGCGUCCUCGGAGCUACGCGUUAAGUACACCCGUCUGAGAGUACGGACCGCG
rnacentral:rRNA from 1 species